CCUACGGGGAGCAGCAGUGAGGAAUAUUGGUCAAUGGACGAGAGUCUGAACGAGCCAAGUAGCGUGAAGGAUGACUGCCCUAUGGGUUGUAAACUUCUUUUAUAUGGGAAUAAAAUGUUCCAAGUGUGGGAUUUUGUAUGUACCAUAUGAAUAAGGAACGGCUAACUCCGUGCCAGCAGCCGCGGUAAUACGGAGGAUCCGAGCGUUAUCCGGAUUUAUUGGGUUUAACGGGAGCGUAGGUGGAUUGUUAAGUCAGUUGUGAAAGUUUGCGGCUCAACCGUAAAAUUGCAGUUGAAACGGGCAGUCGUGAGUACAGUAGAGGUGGGCGGAAUUCGUGGUGUAGCGGUGAAAUGCUUAGAUAUCACGAAGAACUCCGAUUGCGAAGGCAGCUCACUGGACUGCAACUGACACUGAGGCUCGAAAGUGUGGGUAUCAAACAGGAUUAGAUACCCCAGUAGUC
rnacentral:rRNA from 1 species